rnacentral:lncRNA from 1 species
CUCAACACUCUCUCUAAUAACUUUAUUUUUAAUUUUAUCUUGUCGAGUCUUACCAGACACCCAUCACAAUAUCCUCAUCUCUGCUACACUCACUUUAUUCUCGUGUUAAUUCUUAACCGUCCACCAUUUUGUCCCAUACAAAAUCGUAGGUCUUACCAUAGUCUGAUAAAACUUUCCCUUUAGCUUGAGUGGUACUUUUGCAUCACAUAAAAUACUUGAUGUUAU